rnacentral:rRNA from 1 species
UUAAGCGACUAAGCGUACACGGUGGAUGCCCUGGCAGUCAGAGGCGAUGAAGGACGUGCUAAUCUGCGAUAAGCGUCGGUGAGGUGAUAUGAACCGUUAUAACCGGCGAUUUCCGAAUGGGGAAACCCAGUGUGUUUCGACACACUAUCAUUAACUGAAUCCAUAGGUUAAUGAGGCGAACCGGGGGAACUGAAACAUCUAAGUACCCCGAGGAAAAGAAAUCAACCGAGAUUCCCCCAGUAGCGGCGAGCGAACGGGGAGGAGCCCAGAGCCUGAAUCAGUGUGUGUGUUAGUGGAAGCGUCUGGAAAGGCGCGCGAUACAGGGUGACAGCCCCGUACACAAAAAUGCACAUAUUGUGAGCUCGAUGAGUAGGGCGGGACACGUGGUAUCCUGUCUGAAUAUGGGGGGACCAUCCUCCAAGGCUAAAUACUCCUGACUGACCGAUAGUGAACCAGUACCGUGAGGGAAAGGCGAAAAGAACCCCGGCGAGGGGAGUGAAAAAGAACCUGAAACCGUGUACGUACAAGCAGUGGGAGCCUCUUAAUGGGGUGACUGCGUACCUUUUGUAUAAUGGGUCAGCGACUUAUAUUCUGUAGCAAGGUUAACCGAAUAGGGGAGCCGAAGGGAAACCGAGUCUUAACUGGGCGUUAAGUUGCAGGGUAUAGACCCGAAACCCGGUGAUCUAGCCAUGGGCAGGUUGAAGGUUGGGUAACACUAACUGGAGGACCGAACCGACUAAUGUUGAAAAAUUAGCGGAUGACUUGUGGCUGGGGGUGAAAGGCCAAUCAAACCGGGAGAUAGCUGGUUGUCCCCGAAAGCUAUUUAGGUAGCGCCUCGUGAAUUCAUCUCCGGGGGUAGAGCACUGUUUCGGCAAGGGGGUCAUCCCGACUUACCAACCCGAUGCAAACUGCGAAUACCGGAGAAUGUUAUCACGGGAGACACACGGCGGGUGCUAACGUCCGUCGUGAAGAGGGAAACAACCCAGACCGCCAGCUAAGGUCCCAAAGUCAUGGUUAAGUGGGAAACGAUGUGGGAAGGCCCAGACAGCCAGGAUGUUGGCUUAGAAGCAGCCAUCAUUUAAAGAAAGCGUAAUAGCUCACUGGUCGAGUCGGCCUGCGCGGAAGAUGUAACGGGGCUAAACCAUGCACCGAAGCUGCGGCAGCGACACUAUGUGUUGUUGGGUAGGGGAGCGUUCUGUAAGCCUGUGAAGGUGGCCUGUGAGGGUUGCUGGAGGUAUCAGAAGUGCGAAUGCUGACAUAAGUAACGAUAAAGCGGGUGAAAAGCCCGCUCGCCGGAAGACCAAGGGUUCCUGUCCAACGUUAAUCGGGGCAGGGUGAGUCGACCCCUAAGGCGAGGCCGAAAGGCGUAGUCGAUGGGAAACAGGUUAAUAUUCCUGUACUUGGUGUUACUGCGAAGGGGGGACGGAGAAGGCUAUGUUGGCCGGGCGACGGUUGUCCCGGUUUAAGCGUGUAGGCUGGUUUUCCAGGCAAAUCCGGAAAAUCAAGGCUGAGGCGUGAUGACGAGGCACUACGGUGCUGAAGCGACAAAUGCCCUGCUUCCAGGAAAAGCCUCUAAGCAUCAGGUAACAUCAAAUCGUACCCCAAACCGACACAGGUGGUCAGGUAGAGAAUACCAAGGCGCUUGAGAGAACUCGGGUGAAGGAACUAGGCAAAAUGGUGCCGUAACUUCGGGAGAAGGCACGCUGAUAUGUAGGUGAAGCGACUUGCUCGUGGAGCUGAAAUCAGUCGAAGAUACCAGCUGGCUGCAACUGUUUAUUAAAAACACAGCACUGUGCAAACACGAAAGUGGACGUAUACGGUGUGACGCCUGCCCGGUGCCGGAAGGUUAAUUGAUGGGGUUAGCGGUAACGCGAAGCUCUUGAUCGAAGCCCCGGUAAACGGCGGCCGUAACUAUAACGGUCCUAAGGUAGCGAAAUUCCUUGUCGGGUAAGUUCCGACCUGCACGAAUGGCGUAAUGAUGGCCAGGCUGUCUCCACCCGAGACUCAGUGAAAUUGAACUCGCUGUGAAGAUGCAGUGUACCCGCGGCAAGACGGAAAGACCCCGUGAACCUUUACUAUAGCUUGACACUGAACAUUGAGCCUUGAUGUGUAGGAUAGGUGGGAGGCUUUGAAGUGUGGACGCCAGUCUGCAUGGAGCCGACCUUGAAAUACCACCCUUUAAUGUUUGAUGUUCUAACGUGGGCCCCUUACCGGGGUUGCGGACAGUGUCUGGUGGGUAGUUUGACUGGGGCGGUCUCCUCCUAAAGAGUAACGGAGGAGCACGAAGGUUGGCUAAUCCUGGUCGGACAUCAGGAGGUUAGUGCAAUGGCAUAAGCCAGCUUGACUGCGAGCGUGACGGCGCGAGCAGGUGCGAAAGCAGGUCAUAGUGAUCCGGUGGUUCUGAAUGGAAGGGCCAUCGCUCAACGGAUAAAAGGUACUCCGGGGAUAACAGGCUGAUACCGCCCAAGAGUUCAUAUCGACGGCGGUGUUUGGCACCUCGAUGUCGGCUCAUCACAUCCUGGGGCUGAAGUAGGUCCCAAGGGUAUGGCUGUUCGCCAUUUAAAGUGGUACGCGAGCUGGGUUUAGAACGUCGUGAGACAGUUCGGUCCCUAUCUGCCGUGGGCGCUGGAGAACUGAGGGGGGCUGCUCCUAGUACGAGAGGACCGGAGUGGACGCAUCACUGGUGUUCGGGUUGUCAUGCCAAUGGCACUGCCCGGUAGCUAAAUGCGGAAGAGAUAAGUGCUGAAAGCAUCUAAGCACGAAACUUGCCCCGAGAUGAGUUCUCCCUGACUCCUUGAGAGUCCUGAAGGAACGUUGAAGACGACGACGUUGAUAGGCCGGGUGUGUAAGCGCAGCGAUGCGUUGAGCUAACCGGUACUAAUGAACCGUGAGGCUUAACCUU